rnacentral:rRNA from 1 species
CGAAAGCCUGACGGAGCACGCCGCGUGAGGGAUGAAGGCCUCUGGGCUGUAAACCUCUUUUAUCAAGGAAGAAGAUCUGACGGUACUUGAUGAAUAAGCCACGGCUAAUUCCGUGCCAGCAGCCGCGGUAAUACGGGAGUGGCAAGCGUUAUCCGGAAUUAUUGGGCGUAAAGCGUCCGCAGGCGGCCUCGUAAGUCUGUCGUUAAAGCGUGGAGCUUAACUCCAUUUCAGCGAUGGAAACUGCGAGGCUCGAGUGUGGUAGGGGCAGAGGGAAUUCCCGGUGUAGCGGUGAAAUGCGUAGAUAUCGGGAAGAACACCAGUGGCGAAGGCGCUCUGCUGGGCCAUAACUGACGCUCAUGGACGAAAGCCAGGGGAGCG